GCAGGGGAUCGCAAGACCUUGCGCUGAUUGAGCGGCCGAUAUCAGAUUAGCUAGUUGGUGAGGUAAAGGCUCACCAAGGCGACGAUCUGUAGCGGGUCUGAGAGGAUGAUCCGCCACACUGGAACUGAGACACGGUCCAGACUCCUACGGGAGGCAGCAGUGGGGAAUUUUGGACAAUGGGGGCAACCCUGAUCCAGCCAUGCCGCGUGAGUGAAGAAGGCCUUCGGGUUGUAAAGCUCUUUCGGCCGGGAAGAAAUCGCAUGGGUUAAUACCCUGUGCGGAUGACGGUACCGGCAUAAGAAGCACCGGCUAACUACGUGCCAGCAGCCGCGGUAAUACGUAGGGUGCGAGCGUUAAUCGGAAUUACUGGGCGUAAAGCGUGCGCAGGCGGUUUUUUAAGACAGGCGUGAAAUCCCCGGGCUCAACCUGGGAACUGCGCUUGUGACUGGAAGGCUAGAGUAUGGCAGAGGGGGGUGGAAUUCCACGUGUAGCAGUGAAAUGCGUAGAGAUGUGGAGGAACACCAAUGGCGAAGGCAGCCCCCUGGGCCAAUACUGACGCUCAUGCACGAAAGCGUGGGUAGCAAACAGGAUUAGAUACCCUGGUAGUCCACGCCCUAAACGAUGUCAACUAGGUGUUGGGUGGGUAAAACCAUUUAGUACCGGAGCUAACGCGUGAAGUUGACCGCCUGGGGAGUACGGCCGCAAGGUUAAAACUCAAAGGAAUUGACGGGGACCCGCACAAGCGGUGGAUGAUGUGGAUUAAAUUCGAUGCAACGCGAAAAACCUUACCUACCCUUGACAUGUCCAGGAGCCUGAAGAGAUUUGGGUGUGCCCGAAAGGGAACUGGAACACAGGUGCUGCAUGGCUGUCGUCAGCUCGUGUCGUGAGAUGUUGGGUUAAGUCCCGCAACGAGCGCAACCCUUGUCGUUAAUUGCCAUCAUUCAGUUGGGCACUUUAACGAGACUGCCGGUGACAAACCGGAGGAAGGUGGGGAUGACGUCAAGUCCUCAUGGCCCUUAUGGGUAGGGCUUCACACGUCAUACAAUGGUCGGUACAAAGGGUUGCCAAGCCGCGAGGUGGAGCCAAUCCCAGAAAGCCGAUCGUAGUCCGGAUCGCAGGCUGCAACUCGCCUGCGUGAAGUCGGAAUCGCUAGUAAUCGUGGAUCAGCAUGUCACGGUGAAUACGUUCCCGGGUCUUGUACACACCGCCCGUCACACCAUGGGAGCGGGUUCCGCCAGAAGUAGGUAGCCUAACCGCAAGGAGGGCGCUUACCACGGCGGGGUUCGUGACUGGGGUGAAGUCGUAACAAGGUA
rnacentral:rRNA from 1 species